rnacentral:rRNA from 1 species
UGGCACCUCAGGUCAAGGNGGGCCUAAAGG